rnacentral:rRNA from 1 species
CCUACGGGGGGCUGCAGUGAGGAAUAUUGGUCAAUGGACGAGAGUCUGAACCAGCCAAGUAGCGUGAAGGAUGACUGCCCUAUGGGUUGUAAACUUCUUUUAUAAAGGAAUAAAACGAGGCACGUGUGCCUUUUUGCAUGUACUUUAUGAAUAAGGAUCGGCUAACUCCGUGCCAGCAGCCGCGGUAAUACGGAGGAUCCGAGCGUUAUCCGGAUUUAUUGGGUUUAAAGGGAGCGUAGAUGGGUUGUUAAGUCAGUUGUGAAAGUUUGCGGCUCAACCGUAAAAUUGCAAUUGAUACUGGCAGUCUUGAGUACAGUUGAGGUAAGCGGAAUUCGUGGUGUAGCGGUGAAAUGCUUAGAUAUCACGAAGAACCCCGAUUGCGAAGGCAGCUUACUAAACUGUGACUGACAUUGAUGCUCGAAAGCGUGGGUAGCAAACAGGAUUAGAUACCCUGGUAGUC